rnacentral:rRNA from 2 species
AGAGUUUGAUCAUGGCUCAGAUUGAACGCUGGCGGCAGGCCUAACACAUGCAAGUCGAGCGGUAGCACAGAGAGCUUGCUCUCGGGUGACGAGCGGCGGACGGGUGAGUAAUGUCUGGGAAACUGCCUGAUGGAGGGGGAUAACUACUGGAAACGGUAGCUAAUACCGCAUAACGUCGCAAGACCAAAGUGGGGGACCUUCGGGCCUCAUGCCAUCAGAUGUGCCCAGAUGGGAUUAGCUAGUAGGUGGGGUAACGGCUCACCUAGGCGACGAUCCCUAGCUGGUCUGAGAGGAUGACCAGCCACACUGGAACUGAGACACGGUCCAGACUCCUACGGGAGGCAGCAGUGGGGAAUAUUGCACAAUGGGCGCAAGCCUGAUGCAGCCAUGCCGCGUGUGUGAAGAAGGCCUUCGGGUUGUAAAGCACUUUCAGCGGGGAGGAAGGCGUUAAGGUUAAUAACCUCAUCGAUUGACGUUACCCGCAGAAGAAGCACCGGCUAACUCCGUGCCAGCAGCCGCGGUAAUACGGAGGGUGCAAGCGUUAAUCGGAAUUACUGGGCGUAAAGCGCACGCAGGCGGUCUGUCAAGUCGGAUGUGAAAUCCCCGGGCUCAACCUGGGAACUGCAUUCGAAACUGGCAGGCUAGAGUCUUGUAGAGGGGGGUAGAAUUCCAGGUGUAGCGGUGAAAUGCGUAGAGAUCUGGAGGAAUACCGGUGGCGAAGGCGGCCCCCUGGACAAAGACUGACGCUCAGGUGCGAAAGCGUGGGGAGCAAACAGGAUUAGAUACCCUGGUAGUCCACGCCGUAAACGAUGUCGAUUUGGAGGUUGUGCCCUUGAGGCGUGGCUUCCGGAGCUAACGCGUUAAAUCGACCGCCUGGGGAGUACGGCCGCAAGGUUAAAACUCAAAUGAAUUGACGGGGGCCCGCACAAGCGGUGGAGCAUGUGGUUUAAUUCGAUGCAACGCGAAGAACCUUACCUGGUCUUGACAUCCACAGAACUUAGCAGAGAUGCUUUGGUGCCUUCGGGAACUGUGAGACAGGUGCUGCAUGGCUGUCGUCAGCUCGUGUUGUGAAAUGUUGGGUUAAGUCCCGCAACGAGCGCAACCCUUAUCCUUUGUUGCCAGCGGUUCGGCCGGGAACUCAAAGGAGACUGCCAGUGAUAAACUGGAGGAAGGUGGGGAUGACGUCAAGUCAUCAUGGCCCUUACGACCAGGGCUACACACGUGCUACAAUGGCAUAUACAAAGAGAAGCGACCUCGCGAGAGCAAGCGGACCUCAUAAAGUAUGUCGUAGUCCGGAUUGGAGUCUGCAACUCGACUCCAUGAAGUCGGAAUCGCUAGUAAUCGUAGAUCAGAAUGCUACGGUGAAUACGUUCCCGGGCCUUGUACACACCGCCCGUCACACCAUGGGAGUGGGUUGCAAAAGAAGUAGGUAGCUUAACCUUCGGGAGGGCGCUUACCACUUUGUGAUUCAUGACUGGGGUGAAGUCGUAACAAGGUAACCGUAGGGGAACCUGCGGUUGGAUCACCU